rnacentral:rRNA from 1 species
UACGUAGGGUGCGAGCGUUAAUCGGAAUACUGGGCGUAAAGCGUGCGCAGGCGGUGAUGUAAGACAGAUGUGAAAUCCCCGGGCUCAACCUGGGACCUGCAUUUGUGACUGCAUCGCUAGAGUACGGUAGAGGGGGAUGGAAUUCCGCGUGUAGCAGUGAAAUGCGUAGAUAUGCGGAGGAACACCGAUGGCGAAGGCAAUCCCCCUGGACCUGUACUGACGCUCAUGCACGAAAGCGUGGGGGAGCAAACAGG